rnacentral:lncRNA from 10 species
UUUCCUUAUUACUAGCAUGGAGGGGUGGGACUAGAAGACUUCUAGUUUCCUCCCAGCUCAAUGAAAGCAAAGAAUGCUUUCUUCUUAAGUUUUAUUAGUGUUUCUCAGUAUUUCUUUAACCUUCCGUGGAUGAACUGCCUGAUACACUGGAAGUGCACAAAUAGAUUUAAAAGUUUCACUUAUGAGGGGAAGAUUAACAUUCAACUAAAGGAUACUCUGAAUGAUCAUUCUACUUGUGCAUCUGACAGAGUCUAACUCUGUCACCUAAGCAGGAGUACAGUGGCAUGAACAUAGCUUGCUGCAGCUUCAAACUCCUAUGCUCAAGUGGUUUUCCUGCCUCAGCUUCCUGAGUAACUAGGACUACAGGGUGAAGUUCAACAACAUAGUACUCAAGGAUCACAUUUUUGCAGCGUGAGGACAGACUAAUACACAGAACUGAGAUCAUCACUGCAUCACAGGCCAGCAAGUGAUGGGAGGCAAUAUGACAGAGUCUUUAAGAAGAUGAACGCUGGAGCCAUACUUCCAGGCUAUGACCUUCACUGCAAUGUUGAAUGGAAGUGGCAAGAAAGGAUAUC